rnacentral:misc_RNA from 1 species
UAUUUAGUGUUGGAACGGC